AGAUUGAACGCUGGCGGCAUGCCUUACACAUGCAAGUCGAACGGCAGCACGGGAGCAAUCCUGGUGGCGAGUGGCGAACGGGUGAGUAAUACAUCGGAACGUGCCCAAUCGUGGGGGAUAACGCAGCGAAAGCUGUGCUAAUACCGCAUAAGAUCGUACGGAUGAAAGCAGGGGAUCGCAAGACCUUGCGCGAAUGGAGCGGCCGAUGGCAGAUUAGGUAGUUGGUGAGGUAAAGGCUCACCAAGCCUUCGAUCUGUAGCUGGUCUGAGAGGACGACAGCCACACUGGACUGAGACACGGCCCAGACUCCGUACGGGAGGCAGCAGUGGGAAUUUGGACAAUGGCGAAAGCCUGAUCCAGCCAUGCCGCGUGCAGGAUGAAGUCGUCGGUUAGUAACUGUCUUUGUACGGAAGAAAGUACUCUUACUAAUAAAGAGGAUACAUGACGUAACGUAAGAAUAAGACACG
rnacentral:rRNA from 1 species